UACGUAGGGUGCAAGCGUUGUCCGGAAUUAUUGGGCGUAAAGAGCUCGUAGGCGGUCUGUCGCGUCGAAUGUGAAAACCCGGGGCUCAACCCCGGGCCUGCAUUCGAUACGGGCAGACUAGAGUUCGGUAGGGGAGUCUGGAAUUCCUGGUGUAGCGGCGAAAUGCGCAGAUAUCAGGAGGAACACCGAUGGCGAAGGCAGCUGCCUGGCCUAACACUGACGCUGAGGUGCGAAAGCGUGGGGAGCGAACGGG
rnacentral:rRNA from 1 species